CCCUUUCCGGUCCUCAUUCUAGAACUUUCCUGAGGAAGAAAUCUAUUUCUUUUGGGGGGAGGGGUUCCCCAUUUCAUGCCUUCAGAUAAUGAAUGCUUAAUUCACCCCCUCCCUUUCUCUACUCCCCAAAAUGAAUAAAGGAAGCAGGAAUACAGUAACUAGUGAAAAUUGAGAAUAAACUAUGCUGGCUCUCACAGUUUAAUACAAUUUUAACUAAUGGAUUUUUGUUUUGUUUUGUUUUAAGAGAAGAAUAAUGGGGAAAUGCUGAUCUUUUAUUUUAGGAAACUGUUAUGGUAAGAUGUAUGUCAGACUUGACAAAUGGAACUAACGCUCUUCGGCUGCUUCUUGUCCUUGUCUUAAACAGGAAUUAAGUUAAACACAGUGCUGAAUGUUAAUUACAUGUUUACUGGCUAAUGAAAAUUACAAAUGGUUUUGCCACCUCAAACAAUGAUGAAAACUCUGAAGACACUGUAAUUAUAUACUUUGAGCAAAAUAACUCAGAAUAUUGAUCAUAAGAAGUGUAAAUCUUUUUUAACUAUUCAUUAAUACCAUAAAUAUGGGCUAGAGAAGUUUUUCCUUGCGGUUUGUCUCAUCAGUUACACUGAGUGGAUGGAUGGUGAGGCUCCUCUGGGGAGGUGGUGAACUCAUUCUCUUAGUAGAAGGAGGCCACUUGUGUAACUCGGGGGUGCCCCCUCCCUUUCGCCCCCGCCCCCUUCAUCCCCAGCCGAAGGUCGAGGAAGAGUUGAACAGGAAGGCCGAGCUCAGGGCAGGUGAAGGUGAUCACAGCCUGGCCUUUCCCUUCCCUCCCUGUCCACCUCGCUUCUCUCCCUCCUCCCUUUCCUGCGAGUUCUGAUCGAUUUGACCGCCUUCCCCAGCUUGGGCACCAGUGGGAUAGCCUGGCAUCCGGGGGUUCCUAAUGGAGGACUAGUUAGACCAGGAAACUCACCCCACCCACAACCCAACCAUGCCCUGACAACUUAAAUUCCCUUCUUCAGAGAUGGCUCAGGCAGUUCAUUGCAAAAGAAGGGGAAAAAAUAUUAGGGAUGGAGGUUGCUAUUGGGUAAGGUGGCUCAGGCGGCUGAACCAGAACUGGUUUCCCUGGGUUUGGGAGCAGAGAAAAUUUUUUGUUAUGGUUUUCUUUUAACUUUCGCCAGAGUUGUAGUGCUGGCAUCCACUCCGAUCUCGGAGGUCAAAGGUGAAGGCUGCACUGACCCUAAAAGGUUGUGCUGGCCUGGCCACAAGGCUGACAGGGCAGGGGAGUGGGGUUUUGUCAGCCUUACAGCUUGACACUUUGGAAGGGGCAUCUAGGAAACCCAUACUUGGGGGGCACAGCGUCAAGUGUAAGUUUUAAGUGAAAUAUUGAGGAUUUUUUUUUUAAGUGCCCUAGGCUUGUGGGACUAGAGUACUCUUUUUCCCUGAGAAUUCCCAAGGCGCUGGUCUUUGUCUUAGAAGGAAUGGAGUUUCUGAAUGGUGUGAAAGGGACAGAGAGGGUCGCUUCAAAUCGAUUUUACUUGUCCUUUCUGUCUUUUCGGAUCAACGCCCUUCAAUGGGCACAGAGGUGCUCUUUCAACCAAAAACUUGUGCUACAUUUUCUGCCUGUAUUGGUGCUAAAUACAAUAAGCACUGGGCAGGUUUUUUUUUUUUUUUUUUUUUUCUUUGCUCUCCAAAGCAAGAAAGCACCCUAAUUAAAUUGUUUUAUAUGGACAGUCAAGACGGACCAAUUAAGUAUGCAUUAGUAUAAAGAUAUAGUCUGCAGAUAAGGUUGUUUAGAAAAUCAUGUGUAGGACAAAGGAGAGGGCGCUAGCAUUUUGGAGAGAUGCCUAGACCCAGCAAGGUCAUGCACCGUCCUCCUUGGGCCCCAGGGGAAUUGCAGAGGCCCCGGGCCCCAGGUGAGAGGGGAACCAGCUGGCUAACAGGUGGGCGAGAUUGUCGGAGACUUUCGGGCCGGAAGCCCUGGCCCAAGAGUGGUGGAGUCUGACGGAUCGGGAUUCCUCACAUCUUACUCUGGAAACGUAGCAGACCAAGGUGGUGGGUCCAGUAGGACCUGGCAGGACCCUGUAGUGCCCUACUCCAUGUCUAGCUUACUGCCCGAAGGCUCAGGUCCUGGGUGCGCCUCUGCACUAGUGAAAUCGUCUGCGCCCCGGGGUGGCCAGGAGGGCCAGGGGAUACCGAUGGUGUCACAGCCAGUAUCAGGGCAGGAGGCCUCCACCUAACAUCUCCAAGCUAAGCGCUUUUUCUUGUCUUAGGAAAGGGGAGCUUUUCUGCAAGGAAAGUAACCUUCCCACCUGACGCCAUCCGACCCCCUGGACGUCGAGGAUCGGUCUUUAGAGUAGGGAAAAGGCCGAGGGGUCGAAGAAAGGGUAGCAUGGAGCGCAGCUCGUCGUUCAGCUGAUGCAGCUCUGGGCUUCUCCACCCCCUCUCCUCCCUCAGAGGUGUGGGAGGGCGGAAAGCAUCUCUCCUGGAAGGAGCCGACCCCCAGAGUAGCGGCCCGGGCCUCCCAGCGUCGCAGCUCAGGGCUGUGAUAGGUGGUUCCCCGGGCCGAGGGGGCGCGAGUGCCGCGCGCUGCCUCGGGAAGGACUCUCGGGGCGCACAGGGCAACCCUUAGUAGCGGGGGAGGGAGAAGUGGGGCUAGAAUUAGAGCCUGGGGAAGUGGCUGAAUGUCAAAAGUAAAAGGUUGAAAAGCCAAUUUUCCAGGCGCGCUUUCGCCCCCCUUUGCUGGUUGCAGGGGCCGUAAAUCAGUGGCCGGCGGCGAGGGCGGGAGGAGCCCCCUCGGCGAGCUCUGCGCGGCCCCGCCCGGACCGUGCGCACCUCCCGGUGGGCUCCGAAUCGAUCCGAAGCCUAGCUGAGGAUGUCACCGCACUAAAUAUUUACUGAUCACACACAAAUAGCCGAGACUCGAACGAUUUUCCUCUGUGAGGAGAGCGCGGAGAGAAGGGUAAAUCAUUUUAUUAGUGUGGAUAAAGCCCAGAGCACACUCCGGGCUGGAGUGUUUUAAGAUGUGUCUUCAACAGGAUGAAAAGAGUUAGGGAAAUCGAUACCGAGUGAUUAGAAGCCCCCGGGGUGACGAAGGGGGACUGGGCUUUCAGGGAUUUGGCGAGGCUGAGAGGGGGGCGCAGGCCUCUAGGGGGGCGGCCCAACCACCGCCAGGGAGCUCCCGGGCCCAGGCCUCCAUCCCUCCCUCCUCGACGGGAGACGCGAGGGCGCAGCAAGCUGCGGAGAGUCCGCCGCGGCCAGGCUUCGUGGUACUGCCGCUGGGUGACGGCUGUGCGGGCUGCCGCAGGGCCGAUGGCUCGGGAGCCACUGGUUUCACGCCGCUAGUGGCCGUGGCCAGGUGGCUGCGGGAGUGGAUUGCAGACGCGGCAUGGGGAUGCGUGCAGGUCCCCCACACGCUGUCUCUCCAAACAGCCUCGGGGAGGAAAGGUGUGGCCUAAGCGGGUUGCAUUUCUCCUGCUGGCAUUUUGGAUACUCCCCGCCGCGAUCCGAAGCACCCUCGAACUUUCUCCCGCAAAAAUCUCUACCUAUCCUGUCUUUUCAUAUUUUUUUCAAGAGGUCUCAGUGGCCCGUCCCCACCAGUUGCCUCUUCUUCCCACACACUCGGUGUCGAGGGCGGCCGCCGGGUGGCGGAACCCGCUGGGGACUGCGGGGCGAGUGGAUUCUAGGUUCGCUGCUCGUGGGCAGGUGGGACGACCUCUGAGGCCGAGCAGGAAGGCAGGGGGCAGGGUGACAGACACCCAGGAAGUCUCCGUCCUCUCCAAGGCGGGAACUCCACUUUGGGGAUAUCAGGCCACCCCCCCCCCACCUCCCCCAGUGUUGGAAACCUGUGGGGGGGGGGGCGCUUAGGCUGGGUGCUGGGAACCCAAGUGGCCACAAGUAAAGGCUGGUAGGGCUCGCUGAAGUUAGCAAGGCUUUGAGGGGAAUUUGCCGGGAGGGAAAGCAAAACACCCCCAAACUCAAGCAGCGAAGUCCUGGCGCGAAAAUGGCUUUUCACUUCUCCAAGCGCAAGUCUCGCUCGCUACUGUGAACAAACCUUGAGGUUCGAAACGGCUGCAAAUAAUCAAGUAGGCGCAAAUUUCGGGAGGGGAAAGGAGGGGCGAAAGGAUUUUUUCACUCGUCAUUACAUAAAUAAAGAAGAUGAUGAUGAUACUAACACAGCUAACAUUUACGGUAUACCAGAACUGUGGCUCCAUAAUGGAAUCAAGAAGUCAUGGAAUCCUAUGCUUGGAAGUUUGGAGGGCAUUGGUCCAACUUCCCACUGAACCCAGAGUUCUGAAGAUGGGCAGAUGAUCAGGUGCAGAUGGAGCAAUUUUCAGGACUUGCAGAUUCAAGGAAGGUCCCCUGUUCCUCUGGGAAUCAUCCUGUACACCACAUCUUCACAAGGGUGGAUCUCUCGCCUUCGUGGGACCACUGGACAUCUGGCAGAGAACCAGAAAACCACUCUUCCCUUCUAAUGAAAAAAAUACAUGGCAUACAUCAUCAAGAAUCAAAGGUUGUGCCUGGCAGUAUAAUUGACUCUGUAAUAAAGAGAGAAGCUUCGCUAGGAGCCAGUUGUCCAGCACAGUGUCAUGGGACAGUGGGCCCUGGUGUCACAUGUCCGGCAUCUCCACCAGAUACAGCUUUGAGAUCUUCGUGAUGAAGCUUGCUCCAAUCCAAAGGCUUUCAGGCAGAGUUUGCUGUUCAGUUGCUAACCUUUCUUUGAGACAGGGACACUUGGAAUAAGGACAUCUUUAUCUGUUGAUGCCCCUGGAACGACUUCCCUUCAGCAGACCCUUCCCUGGCUUCAAGGCUCUGGAAAAUAUCAAUAUGAAAUUGAGUGAGAUGCUUCACUGAGCCACCCCCUAUGCUGUUAUCCUUAGGAAGACAAAGGUUAAACUCUAUUUUACUAUCCUGAAGAAGUAAAGAUGGAUGCCCUUCUCUAAUGAGCUUUUCCAGCAAGCAGAGAGGCACUGUGUUCCUGCACCUGGUUAUUAUACUGUCUCCUUCAGAAUCUCUCUGGGACAAACCGGUUUCUAUUGCAAGACCUUCUAUACUGAAGCACUUGUUUAUAUUAAGGCUUCACUAUCCAAAUCCUGUCUUCACUGGCUUCAAGAAUCCUGUCUUCACUGGCUUCAAAACUGGGAUGAAGGAGGCUCCUUAGUGGAGAGGAAACCAAAGAGGUGUUUGCAGUCAGGAAGGUAAAUCAAGAUGCUGAAGGUUUCCCUGAGGAAGAUAGUAAGUGCUGACUCCCUUGGGGUGAUCUGUGAAGAGGAUAAAGAAUAAAGCAACCAGAGACUGUGGCCUUUGGGUUUCUGCCCUGCUGAGAAAUGACAAAUAGAAUCCCAGCCAGCUGGAAGCUCUGAUUCACAGAAACAGGGGAGGUCAUGUGAAAUAUGAAGUCAAACAGAAAGAGCUACAUUGGAGAGUUGCUAAGUUUUCUUCUAAAACUUGUUAAUCUUGAUAUUGGGGAGUGGACUGGACUUCGGUGGAAUCUGCUAGAAAGCAUUUUAAAAUCACAUCUGUUCCUGCAGUAGAGAUAAGGUUUUAUCAUGUUGACCAAGCUGGUCUUAAACUCCUGGCCUCAAGUGAUCUGCCUGCCUCAGCCUCCCGAAGCACUGUGAUUACAGACAUGAGCCACCAUGUUCGACCAAGUGCUGUAUCUUGCAUGAAGAUGUACUUGGUCCCUGCCUGUGGCUGGCUUGUCUACCUGGUAUACCCAGUCUGGACAUCGGAGGACAUACAGUUAGGUCAAAGUUCGGAGUGCAACUAGAGAGACUAGCAGUUCACUUCUCCCAGCCUGUCCGACUUCUCAUAGCUUAAUCUUCGGGCACAGCUGCUGUGAGUACACAGUCCCUGGGACUCAUAUCUUGCCCUGCUCCUGGCCCGAGGACAAGAUUGGGAGGAGCUGUGGGCAGGUAAGGUCAAAAGGAACCUCAUGCCAACAUUUCUCUGGAGGGCAGAGGGACAAACAGAAUCCACAGGUCAGGAUCUACCUCGGGGACAAUGUCUCGAGUCCAGUGGUUGCAAUAAGAUGUGUUAUGCGUCAGAGCCAGGGAGGGAAAGAGCAGGCACAGAUGAUGUUGAAAGGUCAGCCAGGCAACGGAAGCCAGGGGUCAGGAAGAAUUCCGAGCUACGAUUCCUGCUGGAACACAUGGUGGGGUGGGGGGCAGGUAUUCAUAUCAAAAUCAAGCAAGCUUUAUUUUUCAGGACCCAAGAUCUUCCUGCCUUCCUUUCCUGGCAGGUCUCACAUCCAAGGGUUUUCUUCCUGAGCUCAUAGACACUAGAUCUGAAACCAUGCAUAAGAACAGGAAAUGGGGUGGCUCGUCCUUACUGAGGAGAUUCUGGAAUUAUUCAUACCAGAGUUGAUAGGAGAAUGAAAUAUGAUAGUCAAGAUCAGACCUCUCCUCGCAGGCUCUUUUCCUUCUAAGUCAGGAGAAUCUUCAGAGAAGUCCCCAUAGAAGAGAACCCCCAUGCUGCAAGUACGCAGGAUAUACAUUCCGAUUUGAGCUGAGUUCCAAGAAAAACUUUAUUUUGGGACAUUUGAGGCUUGUCAUCAAAGAACUCUAACUUUCUAUCUCCCUACCUUAUGGGUUACUAUGAAGUUCAAGUGAUAGUGUGUGUGUGUGUGUGUGUGUGUGUGUGUGUGUGUGUGUGUAGUCUUCUAUAUAUUUUCUAUUCUCUACAUAUAUUUCUAUUUUCUAUAUAAUGUAUGUGAGAUAUAUAUUAUAGAGAGAUAUAUUCAAUUUUCUCUCUAUAUAUAUAUAUGUGAGAAAGUGUUUUGCAAAUGGUGAGGUACCACCGUAUACAAGAUUGUUAUAAUCCCAUUUCUGUCCAAUGGAGAUGCUGAUUUUCAUCUUGCUUGAUAAUUAUUUUCAGGUGAGAUUAUAUCACCUGAUAAAUAUUUUAUUUUUCUUCUGUUUCCUUUUUUUUCUUUUGUUUCUCUAGUUUUCUGGUGAAAAAUGAUUCUAUUGGAAAUUUUAUAACAGAGCAAAUGUUUUCAGAGAAGGAAGGGAUUCUCAGAUUUAAAAGAAAAACUUUCUCUAAAACUCAGAGCAGCUAGAGCGCCUAGGAAGCCCCUUUAUCUAAUCAAUCUAGUCUUAACUAUAACAAGCUCAACCGAUGCUUGGGUAGAAUAUAAAUUCCAAGUCACAGGAGGUCUUAUCAGUUAUAAUACUGAGAAAGAAUUAGCCACUCUGUUUUGGUAAGAUGAUAGCUGUGGGCUAAUUCAUUUUUCUUGAAAUAUUUGGGGGAUUUGAAAGCUUAAGAAGUAAACAGGUUGUUUUGUUCAGGGAACCUUCUCUGAAAGAGUGACCAGGGUUCAUCUGAUGACAUUAGCUUUGCCAGUAAUUUCAAUGAUGUCAAGGGCACACGGGAGAUUAAAGAGGGAUUAAGACCUGCUCACAGAAUCAAAGCAUCACAGUAAAUUGACUUGACUUGGCAGGCUGCACUUCAGGUUGGCACCUUUUCACCACCUCAUCAUAUACAAUACAGGUUUGUGGUGUUAGCUAGGUUACUUUCACAGAGGCCAAGAAAUGCUAAGCAGGCAAGGUGGGAGGUGAAAUUUGCUGGGGAGGGGUGGACGGACAUCAGGAGAAUGCUCAAGGCCAGGCUGCCACUUGAGGUGCUGAGGAUUAAAGCAUUAAGGAAAACGUUUUUUGUUUUUUUUUUUUCCUCAGGAUCUUUCAAAAAUGAAUUUCAUUUUCUACCUUCCCUCCUUCCACCCACUCCCAAGUUUUCCAGAUAUGCGUUCCUCCUAAAACCUUUUUAAUCCCUCAGGUUAUUAUCAACUCUUCUGCAAAAGGAGUCAGGUUUGCCCAGGAACUUCACUGAAUAAAGAUGAGUUUAUAUUUUAAAAAGGAAACAGCUGGAUGGCAAAAGCCAGGGAGGGAAGCAGCUCUUGUUUCAUUAGUGAAGGGAAACUCGAGGGCCCGGAGAGAACAACUGGGCUGGCAGCCACACGGGGAGAAGAAAAGGAAACACACGAUCAUAAAGAACUAAUCAUGAAAAAUGGAAAGCGAGAAAGAGCCAAGAACAACAAGCAAUAAAUAGAUUUGGAAGGGGGAAAAGAUGAAGAGGAAUGCACAGCCAUGCUCAGGAAGGAAGCAACAGAAGCAUGUGCGUUUCUUUUGAAAAAAAUUAAUAAUUCUGAACAUCAUGAAAAUGUCUUGAGGAAAAUGUUUUAAGAUAACUUUUCAGACCCAGGUUUUAUUUCUAUGUGUUAUUUCAGAGUCUACUUCAGUGCAUGAAAAAAAAAAAAUCAAAUGGAACUAGGGGGAGAAACUCAACAUACAAUGUGCCUGAGUGGUUGGUUUCCCUCUGCUUUUUAAUUUUUUUAUAAAUAAUUUCUGCGUGAUGUUGGGGAAUAGAAACAGUUAGUUUGGCUAUGUAGGGUCACUGAUUAAUUGGGGGAUUCUAAGAUUAACUUAUACAAUUCUAGCCAUAAUUAGAAAUACCAAAUAUAUUUUCACCUGGGCAGUGAUCCCGUAACGUUCAUUUGUUUGUCAUGAGGGGGUGAUAAUUUGGGACUCACCCAUGAAUCUCUAAAUAUUUUCAAAUGAAAUUAGCAUGGAUUGAAGGAGGAGCUAAGAGGGAAUCCAGAUCCUAAUCUGUCCUUCAUCUUGAAGGACUAUUGGUCAUGCUUGUGUAUUUUAUCAUGUUGAAUCCGUUCAUCCAAACGUGGCCAAUAGUUCAGGCAAUCCUAGACAGAAGCUAUAUAUACAUAUAUACCUAUAAUCUAGGUAUAUGUAUCUUAUACCUCAGCUUCCUGAAUAUAUAUAUGUAUCUUAUACUGAAUAUAUAUAUAUAUCCUGAAUAUUUAUAUAUAUAUAUAAACUGUUUGAAGUUUCACAUCAGUUACAGACAAUACUUUGUCAAUGAAAUGUUGCUAGUCUUUUAUUUGGAGGAUGGCUUAUUAGGGUUUUUAGAAUUAGUUUUUAAUAGCAGCAUUUAUUUAAGAAGGAAGAAGAAACGUUUGAUGGUACCUUCUGGAAUGUACACUCAUCUCAUUAAUGACACUACAGUUCAUGGUUGGCAAAACAGGACUUUUGAAUCAUCCUGUAUUGUGUGUGUGAGUGUGUAUGUGCUUGAGAAAGAAGUCCAAGGCGCUAAAGAUACAUGAGAAGUGCAUGAAGACAGGAUGCAGGAUUUCCUAUGAUUUUAUGUUGUUCUUAAUUAGGAAGCAUAUUGGCAGCAAAUGCUAACAUGUGUUAGGAUGUUUAGCUGAAGCCAAACAAAUGUUUUCUAUUACAACUCUGAAUUCCAUGCCUGGUCGGAACCCGUGCUGUUCUGCUCAUGGCUAACAAAAUCCUGUUAAAAGUCAUAUCAAGGGCCAAUUUUCUGUUGGCUCACAGAGCAAAACUACUUUCACCACAUGUUUUCCUGAAGGGUCAUCUACAACUCCAGGUGAAAGUCAAAGAUUGGAAGAGGAUGACCUCUGAUCCCGGAACUGCAUUGCUUGGUGGUCAGGAGGGGUUCUUAGUAAGCAAACUGGGUUUAAUUCCAGAGACAGAAGUGGGUGUCAACAAGUCAAAGCAGCAUCCUUUCAGCUCUGCUACUUUUUAUCUUGGUGGAGGAAUAGCCAAGAGAAGAAGCUGGAGAGUAGCCAAAAAAAAAAAAAAAAAAAAAAAAAAAACGGUCUCUAAUGUAGCUAGGUAAAGUAGCUACGUUAGAGAGCAUUUGCUUGAGUACAUAAGAAACCACGUAUAAAUAUGCUCUUUACUGAUUGAUUGAUUGACUGAUUGGAGACAGGGUCCUUCUCUGUCACCCAGGCUGGAGUGCAGUGGCAGGAUCUUGACUCACUGCAACCUUCAUCUCCCACUGCAAUCUUCCCACCUCAGGUUCCUAAAUAGCUGGGACUGCAGGCACACAUUACCAUGCCUGGCUAAGUUUUGUACUUUUAGGGAAGACAGGGUUUUGCCAUGUUGCCCAGAAUGGUUUCGAACUUCUGAGUUCAAAUGAUCCUUCUGCCUUUGCUGUCUAACAUGCUGGGAUUACAGGUGGGAGGCACCAGGCCUGGCCAUUUUUUUCUAUCUGUGUCUUUUUCACUGCUGUGACUGAGAAAUCUUACAUGCUCUCAUAUAUGUACCUGAAAUGAUGCAGAAAUUCCCCAGGACCAGCCACUUGGUGCUUACAUUUAUUAAUAUCAAUAAAUCCACGAAGCCAGGUUGUAAGGCAAUCUUAGGUAUGCACUAUGUGAGGACUGCAUUGCCUGGAGCUCUUUAGCAGUUUUCCACUGCAGGGUCUUCACACAAGCUCAUCCCUCUUUCUGGAACAUUCCCUCUCCACAUUUUGCACCACCUAUCCCCUCACCUGGUUCAGAUCUCUUCCCGAUUGUCCCCUCUCGCCCAGCUUUCCCCAAUCCCUUCCUCAUUCUUUCUUCAAUUUGUAUUUAUUUAAUUUUGCUCAUUGUUUCUCCCCUCCUCUAGAGUGUCCACUUCAAGAAGGAAGGGAAUUUAUUUUGCUUUUGCUGCUGCACCUCAAUGCCUAGGACAGUGUAAGGAACGGAGAAGGUGCACAACUAAUAAUCUAUUCAUUGAAUUAACAGGUCCAGUGUGUUUUUGUUACUGUCUGCAUGACAUUUUCAAAGCCUUGGAAGUUACUAAAUUACUUUCCUGCAUUUUAUAUGCAAGGCUCCUGUUAUUUCUAGUAAGAGUCAGCUGUACAUCUAGACUGCAUUUUCAAAAAAUAAUAAUAAACUACAUUUCCCUUUGCCUUGUAACCAAUCCCAUGUGGUAUAUAGGCCCCUGCAAAAAAAUUAACAAAAAAGGGAGAAUGUACCAAACCACAUUCAGUUAGUGAAAGGGGAUGUUUUCCCAUAUUCUUAAAUAAGGUCUUUUAACCAGUAUAUCCAAUCUCUCAUAAACCAUGAAAUGAAGUGACUGGCUAUCAGAACUAAUUUUGAGAAGAAAAACUGUCAUCUUUAAAGCAGUAAAAUCUUCAUAAAACUGUGUAAACUAAUUACUAGGUUAAGUAAAAUUGCUGAAAUAUAUCAGGACCUUCAAAUGUCUCCAGGGCAGACAUAAUACAGUAAUUCUCUAAUAGUCACCCUGGGAAGGCACCGUAAUGGGCGGGAUGAAGUCAUUCUAAUAUUCUCAUUUAGUUUUGGUCCUGAGACUUAUAAAAAGAAUACUGGCGGCAGAUUGCACAUGCAGAAGAGAUGCCCAUUCAUCUCACAUGAUACUAGCUGGCCUUUCCAGGCUGUGGAUCACGAGCUCAGGGGAAUCCAGUAGAGAUGGGCAUAUGCAUUUAUUCUGCAGAGAAGAUGGAUAUAUGCCUUUAAAUCCAUUUGAAUGUUUCUCAUCCCUCCCCAUGAAAGGGAGUGGAAUAUAUUUUGUGUACAGUAUUUUUUGCUUUAGGUUAUUUAGAUGGCCUCAUGUAUAUUAGGUUUUUGCAUGUGAGUAAGAAAGAACUAAAAACAAGAGCAAGACCUACCAGAAGCUUCAACAGAACAGAUGGCCCAUGGAAGACCUCAUGUUCUUUUGAAUUACUAAAAAGCUCUAUAAAUUUAAGCAGGUAUCUUGGUAAUCCAGGAUAAGUCACAAGGAUUGGGUAAACUCAAUGGAAUAGUAAAGGUUUAUUUUAUUAGGUAAUGUUAUAUACAUUUAGGCCACGCCUCUAAUCCCAGCACUUUGGGAGGCCAAGGUGAGUAGAUCACUUGAGGUUAGGAGUUUAAGACUAGCCUGGCCAACAUGGUGAAACCCCAUCUCUGCUGAAACUGCAACAUUUAGCUGGGCAUGAUGGCAUGUGCCUGUAGUCCCAGCUACUUGGGAGGCUAAGGUAGGAGAAUUGCUUGAACCUGGGAGGUGGAGGUUGUAGUGAGCCAAAAUCACACCACCACCAUCCAUCCUGGGCAACUGAGCAAGAUGCCAUCCCCAAACAUAUUUGUUUUCUCAAAUCCCAGGCUAAUCUUGUACUCAAUAUGGAAGAUAAUCAUGACUCAUCACUCUGGAUUACCACUGUCUACAUAUGUCUUUCUUAUGAGAUUAUGCACCUUGGAGAUAAGAACUUCACAUUAUUUGCUUCAUUCUCCAGUGUCCAGUUUGUGGAAUGAAUGAAUAACCAUUAACAGAAACCUGACUGUUAUUCUCUUCACUAUUAACUUUUCCUAGAGUUAUAAAUUCCAGCUAGAAAUGUGUUCAGAAAACCACUUGUCUUUAGAAAUGUAAUUUCACGAGACACACAAGUUGAUUUCCUCAUACUCUAUUAUGCUGAUUUCUACCUGGCUCAAGGGUGUGAUUCAUAAAGAAGAGUGAUAGGAACUAGACUUCUUAAAAGUGGUGAGUAUCAGGCCACAAUCUCAGAGGAUAGCGUAUGAGGAGUAAAGUUGAGAAGACACAUUCACAUUUACCCAAAUGGCUUGCACAUUAAAAGCUGUACACCCUCCCUGACUCCAAUUAACUCAGAGGGAAAUCUUUAUGCUGGUUCGGUUCUUUCCAAUGCAUCUGAGCCGACCAUUGCUGGCUGGCCCCUGUGUCCCUUUGGAAUUGAUAAUGAGGUUCAAGAGAGAGGAAUAAACCUCACUAAGCAUGUCACCUCUAUUUAGCACCUUUUCCAGGAUGGCAGACACUAUUGUUUUAUUAUGUCUCUGAUCAGCUGUCACUAUUCAUAAAGUAAUCACUGCCAUUAACACAUCAUGCCUCAAGCCAUCUGCUGCAGCACAGCACACACAGAGCUGUUGGUUGCAAGCAAAGCAGGUGUCACCUAAAAAUGACAGUACCACAGUAAAGGUGGGAGGUCAUCAUGGUGAAGAGAAUAUGUGUCAUGUCAUAUAACUCUAUUUUUGAUGUAUUGUAGUGCAAUGAGCAAUAGUAUUUCUUGCUUAAUUUGCAGAAGGCUAAACUUACAACAUUCUCUUGUGAGUUACCUUAUUUUCAAUAUUGGUAAGUUACGGAGACAAAAAAUGUCAUUGAAGUUUUUGAAACAAUAGCAUCUAGAUUGUGAAUGGUCUGUUGCAUUAAAUUUGCAGUCAAGUUUAAAGCAUUUUUUUAAGAGAUCUGAUCCAUCAGACCUUUAUUCAACAAGUAUUUAUUGAGCACAUACUAAGUGACACUGACAUGUGACUGGCCCACUCAAACUAUACAGUUGCUGCUUAAAAACAAAAAUCACUGGUGGCUACAGCCUGUAAUCCCUGCACUUUGGGAGGCCAAGGCGGGUGGAUCAAGAGGUCAGGAGUUUUAGACCAGCCUAUCCAACACAGUGAAACCCCAUCUUUACUAAAAAUACAAAAAUUAGUUAAGAUGGUGUGGGAGCCUGUAAUCACAGCUACUCUGGAGGCUGAAGCAGGAGAUUCCUUUGAAUCCAGGAGGCUGAGGUUGCAGUGAGCAAAUAUCAUGCCAUUGCUCUCCAGCCUGUGCAACAGGGAGAUACUCCAUCUCAAAAACAAACAAAAACAAACAUCGCAAGUACUGUACACGGCGAAGAUUCCUGAUCCCAGCUGCUGUCUCUAACACUUAUUUUGAUUUUGGAUAAUUUUGGGGCUAGUUUUCAGUUUCAGUAUGAUCUGUAUUGAUUGACUUUUAUGUGGAUGUAUUGGAAAAUAAGCUUGCAUUGGAAAAAUGUAAUGAUUUCAUAAAGUCUAUUAUGAAGGACAAUAUCUUUAUAGGAUAAUUAGUUCUCUUGACCACCUUCAUUAUAAAGGGGCUUUAUAUUUAUACAACUGAGAAAGGAGUUAGAAAUUUAAUUGAAGAUCUUGAGCGUUGAUAGAAAGUGAGACAAGGGAUCAUAACUGGGUUUAACUAUCCCUCUAGCCCCUUCCUCUCCUGCAUAUACACUAGAAUUGCAUGCCCAGCUUAACUUCAGAAAAUUCGUCUAUUUGCCCUUGGCAAAUAUAUACACAUACACAUCUGUAUGUAGAUGUAAAAAUUUAACUAGGGUAGUUAGUAAUUCCACCCUCCAUUUUAUUGCAUGAGUUUCUGCUCUUUUCCUGGGAGUGAGAAGUAUUGGAUGAGAGUUUGGAUCUUCUGGCCCCUCAAUUACUCUUAGCAACAUCCCCCAUCCUUCCCUACUGCUGAUGAGAGCAUCUUGCUGUGUGGUUGGUGGUUCUCAGGUAUAUACAACUCAGUACUCUUCACCAUGAUGCACAUGUGCACGCAUCCUAUAUGCUACUGCUGGUUUAGGAGAUUUUUAAGGGUCAAAUGAACCGUACAUUUAGAAUAUAACUCCUAUGGAGUAUGUUAAUUACAAACCAGUUGAGGAAUGCUACAUCACCCCAAAGUCUACAGAAAGCAAAGAUAUCCAUCUUCUAUAUCAGGAUUUCUCGACUACUUUUGAAUCCAACUUUCUUUUGAGAAACAAAAAUCUCAAGCUCUUCCCCUAACCCUAAAGAUUUGUAGAAUCAUCUGUUAUAACCAGAAAAAAAAUAAAAUCAAACUUGAAUUUUUGUAGUUUGCAUUCUUUUCUGAAUGCAAACGUUUUUCUACAUUUUUUUUUUAAAUUCUAUAAUGAUCUAUAUGCUUUUCAAACUGGUUCCCCUUUCUCCCCAGGGAUCAAUUCUAUGCCAAAGCACUAGGGACAUUUUAACUCAAAGGAUGACAUUUGUGAAUCUGGGAUUGGGGUGGGUGCUUUUCAAGAUACCAGUGAAGCAUCACAGAAUGAGCAAGCACAUGUCUCCUGAUGACCAGUGGCCCCCCUUUAUUUUUUUCUGAGAUGGAGUUUCAGCUCUGUCGCCCAGGCUGGAGUACAGUGGUAAGAUCUCAGCUGACUGCAACUUCCACCUCCUGGGCUCAAGCAAUUCUCCUGCCUCACCCUCCUGAGUAGCUGACAUUACAGGUGGCCACCACCACACCCAGCUUAUUUUUGUAAUUGUAGUAGAGAUGGGGUUUCACCAUGUUGGCCAGGCUGGUCUCAAACUCCUGAAUGCAAGUGAUCUAUCCGCCUCAGCCUCCCAAAGCGUUGGGAUUACAGACGUGAACCACCGCACCCGGCUUGAAGAUCAUCCUUCUGUUUUUAUUUUCUAGAUGGAGUCUCACUCUGACUCCUAGGCUGGAGUGCAUCAUGGCUCACUACAGCCUCAACCUCCCAGGCUCAAGUGGUUCUCUCAUCUCAGCCUCUCAAGUAGCUGGGACCACAAAUAUGCAUCACCAUGCCUGGCUAAAUUUUUUAUUUUUAUUUUUUGUAGAGACAAGAUCUCUUUAUGUUGCCUAGGGGAGUCUUGAACAUUUAGGCUUUAGAGAUCCUCUGGCCUUGGUCUCCCAAAGUGCUGGGAUUACAGGUUUGAGCCACUGCACCUGGCAGGAGAAAAUCAUAUUUGGUAAAUAAACACGUAUAUCAUCAUGUGCCCCAUGACAUUUCAGUUAAUAAGGAACCACAUAUAAGACAGUAGUCUUGAGGCGGGCAGAUUGCCUGAUAUCAGGAGUUGGAAAGCAGCCAGGCCAACAUGGUGAAAUCCCGUCUCUACUAAAAAUACAUAAAAAUUAGCUGGGUGUGGUGGUGGCCGCCUGUAAUCUCAGCUACUCAGGAGGCAGAAGAAUUGCUUGAACCUGGGAGGCAGAGGUUGCAGUGAGCAGAGAUCGCACCACUGCACUCUAGCAUGGGUAACAAGAGCCAGACUCUGUCUCAAAAAAAAAAAAGAAGUGGUCCCAUUAGAUUAUAAUACCAUAUUUUGACUGUACCUUAUCUAUGUUUAGAUACACAAAUACCAUCUUGUGACCAUUGCCUGCAGGAUUCAGUACAGUAAUAUUUGUACAGAUUUAUAUACAAAUCUGCACAAAUUUGUACAAAUAUUAAGUUGUACAGAUUUGUAGCUUAGAUGAAGCAAGCUACACCAAGUAGCUUAGGUGUAUAGCAGGCUGUGCCGUCUAGGUUUGUGUAACUACACUUUUUGAUUCACACAGUGGCAACAAAAUCACAUAGCAAUGCAUGUUUCAGAAUGUUUCCCAAUCAUUAAGUGACUCAUGAUUGCACAUAAUCACUCGGGUCUAUAAAAUAAAGAUAACCAGAAGACUUACUCCAAAGGGUUGUUGGGGUGAUAAUAUAAUCAAUACUUAUAAUUAAUACUAUAAAAUAAUAUAAUACAAAGUAUUUAUGGUAUUUAUAAAUAUAGACCUAAAAUAUAAAAGUUUUACUCAUUAUAAUGCUUUUUUUUCUUCUUUUGAGACGGAGUCUUUCUUCUCUGUCACCCUGGGUGGUGUGUAGUGGCUUGAUCUUGGCUCACUGCAACCUCUACCUCCUGGGCUCAGGUGAUUCUCCUGCCUUAGCCUCCCUAGUAGCUGGGAUUACAGGCGCCUGCCACCACGCCCAGCUAAUUUUUGUAUUUUUAGUAGAGAAGAGGUUUCACCUUAUUAGCCAGGCUGUUCUCAAACUCCUGACCUCAAGUGAUUCACCUGUCUCGGCCUUCCGAAGUACUGGAAUUGCAGGUGUGAGCCACCAUGCCCAGCCUACUUACUAUAAUACUUCUGAGUAUUAAAAAACACUUUUAUGUCCAGCACAUGAUAAAUCCUCAAUAAAUAUAAUGUACUACUAUGACAGAUUAAGAGAAAAAGCUACUGAAAUAAGGCUGCAAUACUUGCAUUUAGGAAACACUGUAGGAAUAGGACAGAAAAGCUUGGCUAACUGAAUUGAGAAAUAUAUUAAACAAAAUGUCUUCAGAGUAGGUGCCAUUUGAACUGGCUAGAGAAAGAGAGAGAGAAUCGCUUGUUAGGGGAAGAAGUAUCAGGAGCAAAGUUUUGGACCAGGAAGGGGAACCAACCGCUUUCUUCCUUGAUCCCUCCCACUGAAGAGUUUUUCACAGUUUGCCUUACACACUUUGGGGGCCCUAGGCAGGUAGAUCACAAAGUCAGGAGUUCAAGAACAGCCAGCCAAAAAUGGUGAAACCCUAUCUCUACCAAAAAUACAAAAAUUAGCCAAGCGUGGUGGAGGGUGCCUGUAAUCCCAGCUAACCGGAAGGCUGAGGCAGGAGAAUCGCUUGAACCCGGGAGGUGGACGUUGCAGUGAGCGGAGAUCACACCACUGCACUCCAGCCUGGGCAACACAGUGAGACUCUGGCUCAAAAAAACAAAAACAAAAGAACCUCAUUUUAUGGGUUCUUCAAACAAUGUUUUUGUGUUUACUCCAGCAUAAGAUCUGUCAUAUAGAGUCUCUUUAUGGAGACCCAUGCAUUUUAAAAGACUCUCAUAAACACCAUUGUUUAUGAAUUAGUAUUAGUAUGGUUGAUAAUUUUACACCUUAGGUUUACAAUAUAAUGAUCUUAAGGCUUUGCUCAUCCAAAAUCAACUUUUCCCAGCUCCCUUACUAUUAACUCAUUCCUUGUAUUUAUUAUUCAGUUUUCUAUUUCUACACUUGAUUUUAGCCAAAAGGCCGAAAAGUAAUCAGUUUUCUAUUUCUUUGGACUGAGUGGGCAUGAGACAUAGAAUGGGAAAGAAAGCAUGCAAUUAGAAAAUAUUGUACAAAACUACUGGCUAUUUUAUAUAAAAAAUGAAAUUUGAGGUCUCAGGGUGCAAAAUCAAUAUGGAAGAAUUUUAUCACUUUGUUAGAAGAUGCAGUCGGAGUCCAUCCACUAUGCUCUCAGAGACUUGGUGGAUAUCUGUCAGUUUCGUUUGUCAUUCAGGAGGAAUACCUGGAUUUUCUCUGAGGAGUCAUCCCUGCUUGGUCUCAGACUACAAGGUUCAUGCGGUGCUUUGCCAAGUCUACUUCCUAUCCCCUCCAGUCUUAGGGAGGGGGAAUAGCUCAAGCUCAGCCACUCAGGCUUUCUCUUCUGGGAAGCUGAACUCUGAGUGAUGAGACACAAAAGUAGCAAUAUACUUGGAACCGAUUCUUCCUGGGAGCAGAACCUUGAAGAGGCUGUUUAUUCACUCCUGCUACCUGGAGUCCUGAAGCUAUUUGGUUUCCAUCUUUGUUCCCUCAUGAUCUGAGUGUUCAGCUUUUGGUUUCUAUGAGCCACUCCAUAUCCUUCCAAUAAUUUUCCUCUUUUCUUUUGCUUCAUUUAGUCAGAGUUUAACUGAUAGUGAUAGAAUGAAAGUGUGAACACAGAAAAAAUACCGCUAGAUGACUGAGUUCAGCUUACUAGACAGCAUUUUCUCACUGGACAUGUAUUUUGAAAGCACAUACCAGCACCAGGCACUGCUCUAGGCACUGAGUCAAUGACAAACAAAACAAAACAAAUUCUGAGAACAAUAGGUGUGGCUGGGCACUGUGGCUCAUGCCUGUAAUCCCAGCUGUUGGGAGAUCGCUUGAGCCCAGGAGUUUGAGAACAAUAGACAUUCUAACAGAUAUUUGUUGUUGGGCUUUCAGGAACUAAAUGAAUGGGCUCAUGACAUUUGUUCGACCUUAGGAUAAUUUUUUAUAUGACCCUCUGUGAGAGGCUCUAAUAAAUUUUUUUAACCAAAAGAAUACGAAUAUUAACAACAAUCUGGGUAAAUAUUUCAAAAAAGAGUUCUUCCUGUGGAAAAGCAAGCCAAGUGUUGAUUUAAAUUUCUCAAUGAUCAAAGUGUUAAAGUAAUAUGUUUUGAAUAGAGCCAUCUAUAAAACAUAUCCGUAUAAACAACAAAACUUGUAAACGUGUAAUGGGCAAAAGUAAUAAAACUAUUGAAAUAAUGCAUUUUCCUCAUACCAACCCUAUCCAUUAAUUUUUUACAGUUUUCUACCAUGUAACAUUACCCUUCAUAAAAAUGAUAUUUUAAAAUGAGAUGGGGUUGGUAAAAGAAACGACGGGUAAUAACGGAAGGGGGAUUGUAAAGCUGUGCUCUGCUGGAUGAGGGAUAAGGGAAAAUACAAUUCAUCUGGGCUUUCUCUGAGCCAGAGGCCAUGGUCUGUGGCCUUUAAAGGGUGAGCAAUGCUCAGAGCCAAGGAUUUUUAUAUCCUUAUUUUGAUUAUUUGUUUCUUUUCUCUAAAGAAAUCAAGCACAAGCUAUUUAAAAUAAUGAAAUUCACUUCAAAAAAUACUUUUUAAGCAAAGUUGUGAAUCUCUCAUGUAUUAAACAUUUAAAAAUUCUUCAUGCAUUGUUGUAUGGGUUGUAUAGAAUCUAAAUGUAAUAUGACAGUGGCAACUUGGUGCAGUGAAGGGACAUAGAUUUUGAUUCGGAUGGAUCUGAGUUCUAAUCCUGACUCUGCUAUAUAUAAGUUAUUUGACCUCUAUGUAACUGUAUUUAUUUACCUGCAAAGUGGAGAUGAUAACUCCUAGCAAGUAGUGAGUACUCAGGGUUAGAUGAUUUUCUUCAUCCUUUGUUCUGAUAAUACUUCAAAUUAGGAAAGAAUAGCUUAUUUGCAGCUACAGGCCAUUGCAGUAUUAUUGUUAUUUAUUAUUAUUAUUUUUUGAGACAAAGUCCCACUCUGUUCCAGGCUGGAGUGCAGUGACAUGAUCUCGGCUCACUGCAACCUCCAACUCCCUGCUCAGGCAAUUAUUCUGCCUCAGCCUCCCAAGUAGCUAGGCUUACAGGCAUGUGCCACCAUGCCCAGCUAAUUUUUGUAUUUUUAGUAGAGUUGGGGUUUUACUGUGUUGGCCAGGAUAGUCUCAGUCUCCUGACCUUGUGAUCCGCCUGCCUCGGCUUCCCAAAGUGCUGGGAUUACAGGUGUGAACCACCACAUUACAGUAUUGUUGAGUCUCACUUAAAAUGCUUGAUAUCCUUUGAUAUUAUGUGUCAACAAAGUAAAAAUGUGCAUGCUUGCAAUUCCUAAAAAUAAACUAAAAUAAAUAAAAGGUUGAAAUUCUUACAUUUAUAUUAAAAUGAGAAUCCAUACUAUAGCAUCAUUUUGGAAAAUGGAAUUAUCUGAGAUUUAAAUGCUUUAUUUCUCCAUUUAAUCAGCACACCCUGAGCACCUAUUAGACUCUGGGCCCCAUGGUAGGCAUUGAGAAUACAAAGAUAAAUAAAACAUGAUUCUGGACUUCAAAGAGUUACUUCACCCUCUUCCAUAAUGGGUGAAGAUCAUGUGCAGAGAAUGAAAUGCAGAAAUAUAGGAUGGAGUGCCUCAUGGGAACACUGGGGAGAGUUACCUCAUUGGUGAGUGUGGAGUGUCAGGGGACAAGGGAAGUCUUCUAGCAGACGUGGUGGUGAUGGUAUCUGUUUCAAGCCUUAGGGAAUGAGUUGAAGUUAUCUAGGUGGACUAGGUGGAGGAGACUAGAGUAAGAGGACAUUCCAGGCAGUGGGGCAGGAAAAUCAUAUGGAGAUGAACCCACAUGGUGCAUGUAUGUGUGUUGAAUGUGUGUGGGGAGUGGGGGUGGGUGGGUAAGGAUGUACCAGGAAUCAGUGCUAUGGUGCACAGAGCUAGAGGUAGGGAGUAAUGAGAGUGAUAUUAUUGGAGAGGCAGGCAGGGGCCAGAUCAUGGGUGUUUUCUUUCCCAGGCCAAGUUGCUCAAGCUUUAUGCAGAAGGACAAGUGAUGGCUUGGGCACAGCUGAAAUACCUCUGCUCAAACCUGUGUGAAGAAUAACAAUUAGGGUAGUAAAGCACAUUAGGAAACGGGUGAUGUGGUCUGUGUGUGGUCCAGGGCCAGGUUGUAAGGGCUUGAUGGAGGCCAGGUUCACUGGGACACGGAACAGUAGGAGGGCUGGAUGGUUGGUAGCAGAGAGGGGUGAGCUCAGGGGCAGGAGGAAGAGAGAGAAUCCAGGCUGACGCUCAGCUCUGGAGUAGGUACCUGAGGUGAUGCCAUCAUCCAAGACAUGGAUAUGAAUGAGGGUUAUGAUCCAAGUUCGGGCAUUCAGUGAAAUCAAACUGUGGGUCUCUUAAAACUGGGCUGACUGUGGUUUUGCUGCUGUUGUUGUUUUUCUUUCUCUCUCUCUCUUUUUUUUUUUUUUUUUUUUUUUUUUUGAGACAGAGUCUCACUGUGUCACCAGGCCGGAGGUCAAUGGUGCAAUCUGGGCUCACUGCAACCUCUGUCUCCUGGGUUCAAGUGAUUCUCCUGCCUCAGCCUUCUGAGUAGCUGGGACUACAGGUGCACACCACCACACCCAGCUAAUUUUUGUAUUUUCAGUAGAGAUGGAGUUUCACUAUGUUGACCAGGAUGGUCUCAAUCUCUUGACCUCCCAAGUGCUGGGAUUACAGGUGUGAGCCACCGUGCCUGGCCAACUGUUGGUUUCGGAAUACCUUGGUGAGAUUUUGUUAUAGGGAGCAGCACUGACCACUUCUGGUGCAUGCAGAAGGCCUAACAUGGAGUGAGCAUGGAGGGGAUGAGCCAUAAAUAAGCUUUCACUCCGCUCCUUAGUAGCUCCAGGAUAGUGGGCAAGUCACAUUAGCACUCCAGAUUUCCUGUCCCUCGUUGUGGGAAUAAGUUGGUUUGACAAAUAAUCUCUAAACAAUUAUUCUUAUUUGAUUAAAUAAAACCACGUAAUGUGAUUCUCGUUCCCCAAUUUUUUAGUUAACAGUAAACACCCCCACCCCUGAAACAUGGUGCAAAAGUUUCUCUCUCCUAAAUUUAUGAGAUAUUUGAUAUUUAAUGUCAAAAUAGGAGUUUUCUUAACUCUUAAGAAUAUUCGUAGCUCCUUCUUGUCAGGAAUUGCUUGCAACUCUUAGAGGAUGUGAAUCACUCCCAAAGCAUUUAUCUUCCAACUUUCAAAUGCAUUUUUGGAAACAAAUAUCAGUUGUUAACCAGAGCUUUCCUACGUGCAGCAGAAACUCUCUUCCACAAGGCUUUCCUUCCCUUCCCUACUCAGUAAACUGCCUAAUACAAACAGGGGGUCACUUCGGGGGCAGUAACGUCUGACAUUAAAGAAUGCAUUCUAGGCAGGGUGCGGUGGCUCACGCCUGUAAUCCCAGGACUUUGGGAGGCCAAGGCGGGUGGAUCAUGAGGUCAAGAGAUUGAGACCAUCCUGGUCAACAUGGUGAAACCCUGUCUUUACUAAAAAUACAAAAAUUAGCCGGGCAUGCGCCUGGGGUACCAGCUGGAGGCAGAAGAAUCGUUGUAUCCAGGAGGCGGAGGUAGCAGCGAGCCAGACUGCGCCACUGCGCUCCAGCCUGGCGGCAGAGCAAGACUCCGUCUCAAAAAAAAAAAAAAAAAAAAAAGAAAGAAAGAAUACAUUCUAAGUAAAACAAUGUGUUUUUCAAAUUAGCACACAUGCCAAAUAUAUAUAUAUAUAUAGACAUAGUACACCUUAAUGGCUUUCAAAGAGCCAUUAGGCUCAAGUGAGUGAAUAUAUGCACAAUCGCAUCCCAAAAUAGCCAUUUUACCUGUAUAUAUAACAAGAUAAGUUCAUUUCUCUUUGAAUUUUCCUUCGCUCCUUUCUAAGUAAUUUUCCUAGCCCAUUUGAGAGCAAAGGGACACAUUUUUUCAAGGUUUGGGUGUUUGCUUGCUUGGUUCCAAAGUUCAUGGAAUAACCGAGAAGUGUGUUCAUCUGCUGUUGAGUGGCCUAAACGAGGGGGCAUUCUACCUAGUUAAGACCUACUACAGUUUCCCUAUUAACAGAGGCACCAGCAAAGUGUAAGAAGCCUAAGGAGAUUAAUGUAAAAUGUUUGCAGGGUAGAAACAUUUCUUUAGAAAUAAAAUAAUACAUCCUCUACCCCCCAAGAAUUAGCACUUGAGGCACGUUAAUUGGACAAACUCGGUGUUUAGAUCAGGAGUCUGUCCAGUUGCUGUCACCAGAGGAAAUAGAAGCAAAGGGGUUAAUAAUUGCUGACAAUUUUUUUUAACAAGCAGUUUUAUUGCAGAAAUGGGAGUUGAACCGGAACAUUCACAAUCAGAACGAAAGGGCAGGCAGGCAGAUCUGGAAAACUCACCAUUCUAUGUGAAAAGGAAAGUUUCCACGGAUUUCAGAGAAGCCAAAGAAAAGGGUUUAUUUUAUAUUUGAGAACAAAGCUUAAUUUAGGUUUUUAAGGACCAGUCACCCGACAUUUGAAAUCCAUACAUAAUGCUCUGAAGAAAUGCAACAAUGCCUCCAUUUGAUAAUGGAAAGGAAAGCAUUUAUAUCUGACAAUACCUUAUGCAAUGUUUAUAAGAUACAUGUCUCUAGGUGUGUGGAAUUUAAUGUGUUGACUUUUAUUUCUAAAGAAUUGUGUUGUUUACCUGCUAUCUUAGAGAUUACUGUUCCACAUUGAACAGUGAAGGUGAAAGGAUACCAAUCAGCCAGUGUGUAUCUUCUGACAAUUUCCAGAUUUUUAUCUAGAGACACCCAGCAGCAGAGAAUCAUUCAUGGGUGAUAUGUUUUAGUAAGAAACAGCACAUGGGAGUCAGAAGAUAGAAUUCAAUGUCUCGUUCACACCUGCAAUCCCAGUUACUCUGGAGGCUGAGGCAUGAGAAUCGCUUGAACGUAGGAGGCAGAGGUUGCAGUGAAUCCAAAUCACACCACUGCACUCCAGCCUGGGUAACAGAGCAAGACUUUGUCUCAAAAAACAAACAAACAAAAAAAAAAAACUGUGGCCAUGGGGAAAUAGUUUCUUCCAAUGGUUCCCAAACAUUAUUGCAUGACAAAACCAUCUGUUGAGCUUUAUGUAUGCACAUAUACACCUGAUCCAUCCUCCUGAAAUUCUAGCUCAGUAGGUCAGAGAUUGGUCUCUGUAUUGUUUAAAAGCAGUGGGGUCAAUAACUACUGACAAAUCCACCGCACUUGAGUGCCCUCAUUUGUAAAAUAGGGACCAGCAUUUUUUAUUCAGCUUACAGGAUUGUUGUGAAGACUAACUACAAUGAUAUAUUUAAGACACCAGUGCAAUACUCAGAAGAGGGUCACUUAUUUUUCUUUCAGUGGGCCAUGGUUGUUCUAGUUCAGAGCUCCCCAAAGUGAAUUCUAAGGAGCAAUAACCCUAUGGGAUGCUUUAUGGAAAAACUGUGUACCAUCCAUCAUAUUUGGCAGCUGCACAUUACACUCUCUUCCAGACUGUUAAUGGGACCAUUAGCACCUUAAAGUUUCUGAAAGGACCUGAAAAAAAGGAACUGGCUACGUUGGUUGAACUCAGUGUUUCUCAGUGAUUUGACUACCCAAUUCUUUCUUCCUGUGGCAAUUAUUUAUUGAUGUUGGAUGGAACUUGCUUUAGUGAACGAACAGUCCUCUUUAUGAUCGCUAACUAAUGUUCUACCUUCUAUAACCUCCCUCAAGGAAUUGCCCGCUUGUUUUUACUCUGAUUGAAACCCAGCCUUUCUGAUCAUUGUGAAGAAUAUCUGCUCUUUUCCUGAACUGCUAGUUUAAAUGGACUCUCAUAUUGAACACGAUUCCAUUUAAAUACUGUAGUUUUUACUUUAACUGAGGUAUGUAUGAAGGCAGAACACAAAUGAUCUGGAAAAAAAAUUAAGCCAUCAAUUUAGAAAUAAAAUUAACACCUAAACAGUAGAAAUUCACAAGUUCAUGACUGUUAAAUAAAGGGAAGACAGUUACAUUUUGAAAGCUCCUGUUUUACCCUGGAAACCAGUCAAAUGGGAUAAAAUUUAGAAAUGCAGGUUAUGCUUCAAGCGAUAUUAAUCCAGGGAUCAAAAAUAAGUGGUAGAAAUGGAUAUAGAUGUAGUAAAAAAUUUGAGUCUUGAGGAUAGCACUGUUUCUCUUAAGUCAAUGAUUUAAGGGCUUUUAGGAAGUUGAAUAUAAUCAUGUAGAUUUUUUGGUGACCUCAUUUUUCUGGUCUGUACUCUUAAAGAAAGAAUAAUCAGCUUCUAAUGUGCCCUUCUGGGAAUGAAAAGCAGAAUGGCCAAGUGUAUGUCUGAUUGGGGUGUACUUGCAAAAGAAUCACCUACUCAUUCAAGCAGAAGAAGACACAGGCAUAGACACAUGGUGUUGGGAUGGAUGAAUAGACAUGAUGUGUGGGGAUGGAUAGAUGUGAUGUGUAAAGUCAGGUCUGGCAGAGUUUACAGUAAGAAUUUGCUUCAGAUGACUACUCAGAGAAGCAUAUAUGUAUUUUUCAUGCAUCUUGCUUUUACAGGUUUCUGAGAUAAAAAUCUCAGAAGAACAGCUUUGCUCGUGAGCUUUCCGAUAUUUCCACUGUGGUCCUGGCCAGAAACACUUCAAAAUCUUGGAUGGCUUACUCUCCUUGAGAACACUUCCUCAUGGAUUUUGAAUCUCCAGCUCGUUCCACUCCCAGGCAGAAAGGAAGAGGAUGAUCACAGAAACACAGGACAUCUGCCAACUGAGCCUGCCACCUUCUAAGGGGAGCAUUCCUGAAAGCAGCACGUGAUAAUCUUUGCUGACAUUGAAUUGAGCAGAGUAGUAUUUCAUGACCACCCUGAUCUACAAGGGAGGCAGGAAGUGUAGUUCAGAAGAUGUGGACACAGUGCUGUUUCCAUAAAUGGGAGUUAUAUUGGUAAGGAAGAAAGUGCGGAAUGUUUUGGGGUAGGCAGUUGACAGUCUCUAACACCUUUUUUCUUAACUUCCCUAUGUUUACUGAAAUUCCCACUGACUUUGAAUAAAACAAUCCUUGUUUCCCAUCAUCAUCAUCUAACUUCACGUCUUCAUUGUCCUUUUGCUUAGAUUACAAAACCAAGUGGACUCUGUGUGCCUCUACUUCACUGCAAUUCCUGUCCUUGUUCAUUAAUCUAUUAAUUCAGCAGGAAAAUAUUGUUAACAGGCACCGUGCUAUGUGCUAGCAAUGAAGAGAAUCGUGACUUUUGACUUCAGGGCCUCACAGUUCAGUUGGAGAGAGCAAUGUGGCACCGUUUGACUUAGGACAACCCAAGAAGUGACAUAACAGAGACAGAGGAAAGGGACCGAAGAAGCAGCGAGAACAUCCUGACUAAUUCAAUCUGGAAACAGUGAGGAAGACCUUCCAGGGGUGCAUCAUUUCCCACUUACCUCCCACAGUCACUACUUCCUACAUUGUCCAAAGUAUUCAGCUGUUUUGGGGAGAAUCAUGAUUAUUCUACUGAGACUGCAAAAAGAGGGAAGGACGCAGCUCUUAACAUCAGGUAGAAAAUUUUGUUGAGUUAGUAAGUUAGCCUCUGGAAAACACUUUUCUAAAUUUUUAUACAUUCUGGUUAACUCAUUAGAAGUCAGGCCUGGAAGAUGAGAUCAUCUAGUUCUUCAAGAGGUGGACCUCUCCUUGCUUCUGUCAAAAUGGCUGAGUGAAGAGAGCAUGAUAUCCCAUGCCUGUAAUCCCAGUACUUUGGGAAGCUGAGAUGGGAGGAUCACUUGAGUUCAGGAGUUUGAGACCAGCAUAGGCAACAUAGUGAGACCUUGUCUCUACCCUAAAUUUAAAAAGUUAUCUGGGUUUACUGGUAUGUACCUGUAUUCCCAGUUUCCUGGGAGGCAAGCGGGGAGGCGAGGUGGAGGAUUGCCCGGGCCUGAGAAAUUGAGCCAUGAUCACACCUCUGCACUCCAACCUGGGCAAGCAUGAGAUUUUGUCCUCCCUACUCCCCCGCCAAAAAAAAAUAAAAGAAAAGCUGAGCCAGGAGACUUAGGGUUCCACAAGAAUUGGAUAGUAUCUCUACAAGUCAGAAAGAUAAAGCGGAAACUCCCAUUUCAACUCAGGUAGAAUGUGGGAGAGAGAAAGGAGAUGGAGGAGAUAUGGCAGGAGGAGGCUUGAUGCUGAGCGACAGGAAGUCUAAACAGUGGUUGAAACAGAAUAGAACAUGUUUCUCUCCUUUCUGGUUGCCUGGGGAGGUCAGUUCAAGGCUGGAAACGCACUCUUCUGUGUAAGAGACUCAAGCUUCACCUUUUUAUUUUUUACUCUGCCGUGAUCCUUAUUCCAAGGUUGCCUCAUAGUCCAAAAUGGCUGCUGUAACUCUGUCUACCUCAUCUCCAUCUCACCCAGUAAAGAAAAAAAGAAGUAAAGAAGGCCAUACUUCCAUAUUUGAUUACUUUGCUUAUAUCCCUUAGCAGAGGUCAGUCACCUGACCACUCAGAUGCAAAGGGAGGAAAACAUAAUUGGUAUUCAGAGAAGCCAUGUGGAGAGCUAAAAUUCUGUGGCCCUUAUAGCUAGAGGAAAAAAUGAGGGAAUCAGGGAGGACAAAUGAGAGAACUGACACUGGGAGAAAAGAGUAGGGUGAACAGACAUGGAGGUGUGUUAGAAAUGAACACAUAUAUUUAGGGGAGUGAAGGACAUGGGGCCUUUCCUACUCUCAUGGUAUAGUCUGGGAAACCACUGUGACAGGCCCUGCUGGUACUGCAGCCACACGAUGGCAUCUGGGCCUGAUGGAUGUGCCUGAGGCUGCACUAUUUCUGUGCUCAGCACAAGGUCUCAGUGGUUCCCACAGUCCUGCAUGAUGAGGUGUGUUGGGUUAGGGCCAGGUACCAGCAGAGGGCCAGCAUGAGAGUCAAGAUGCAGUGGCAGCUGGGACCUCUGAGAUUAGAAGCCUGACACGUGAGCAGGUGAGACAGGACCUCCUGCCUAUCUGGGUAUCAGCCAGACCAGCCAACCCUCAUUAGACACCAGAUGUAUCCAGAGUCCCCUGUGACUCUGAUCCCUCCCAUUCCUGCUGUUCCGAAGACACAGAGAGCUUCUUCAUAGACAGCCACGGUCUUGGGGAGAGGGAGGGAGUAACUUUUUUCUCUUCCCAUAAAUGGGGCGCUAAAUGAGAGAUGGAUGGUUCUUGAGAAGGUUUAGAUACAGAAGCCAAUUUUUAAGUUAGGCAUCUGAGUAUAAUGUGAGUGCAUUUUCUAUCCCGUAUAUGUACAUAAAAUUAAACUUGCAAUGCUAAAUCAUUUACUUUUGAGUAAUAAUUUACUCUUACUCUUACACUCAUCAGAGUGUAAAAUGAACAAAAAUUAAAAUUCAGAUUGCAGAUUUUGAUUUGGGGUAGACAGGUGGCAUUUUAUAUCAGGCUAAAGACAUUACUUCAAGAUAUACCAUUUACACAGAAGAUCUCCUUAGCUAGAGAUGUUUUUACAAAACUGAAACUAGUAAAGAAAAAGUUGAUUUGUCAAGAGAAUUGACUCCCACAAAUCAGGUGUUUUCCACGUAUUCAGGCAUGCAACAUUCACACAGAUGCUCUCAGGUUCUCUUAUGAAGUAAUGGAUUUAAAAAGUAUGAGAUGAGACCUCAGAUAUUUCAGUUACAAAACCAACCCUCUUGAUCAACCAAAAUAUUCAGAUACACUUCAGAUAUGAUGAUUUCUGAAGUGACCUGAAUAACUUGUUUUCCCUUAACGCUGGGUUAAACCCAGACACAGCAACUCCAGACAGAGAGCAAUUAUAUGGGGAUAUUGUAUUGCUAUUGCCUGCAAUUUAGAUAAAACAAAGGUGCACAUAGGAUGCACCUACACACACACACGCACACAUGCACACACACUCACACACCUGCCCCCAUCACAUACACACUGUACAGUAUUAUGUUAAUGCCUGCACACUCCACAAAACUAGUCCAGCAACUUGCUUAUUAAGCUUUUCAUUGGAACAAAGUGAUGGUCUUCCCUCCUAAAAUAUGGUAUCUAAAAAAACAAAUAGUUUGUUAAUUUAGCAAAAAAGUUGUGGCCAAUUCUCCAGGGAAUGAUGAAGUUCAGGUUGUCUAAUCGACAUUUCUACAGUACUUUAAAUAUUUAAAGCAAUUGCCUCUGAAAUGUGGAUGCCCAUGUAGGGAAAUGUACAAAGGAAGAUAGCUUUCUCCAGUUUUGUUUGCUCCCUUUGAUGUGAAAAGUUGUGAAAAAAAAAGAGUUGUGACCCUUAAUUAGAUAAGGAUUUAUCUACAUUGCUUUUCUUUUUGUGUGCUCAACCCCACUAGGGCUAGGUGAUCUGCCUUGCCUAGUGUUGACACAAAUGGGCAGUGUAAACCUUAAACUGCUGUAAACACCUCUAAAAUGUGGCCUUCCUUACAUGGUCAGCGAUGAGGGCUUGACGCCCGUCAUCUGAUAAGCUAGGGUCAGGAGUCAUUCCACCGCUUUGCUUUUUCUUUGAAUUUCUAAGAGCCGAAAACUUUUAAUGUUUUACAUGAGUAAAUUACCUAAACAUGUACAGUCCUUUUGCACAUAUUAACCCAUCAGGGGCCAAAGUGAGUCCGGGAAGGCUCCCUAAACAGUCAGGGGCUGUUCACUGGGUGUGUUAUGACUGCAAGACCUCGUUUUGGUGAGAAUAUGAGAUGUAAUUUGGAGAGCUUGUGUUGCAUGGUAGUCACAUGAGCCUUCUUAGCAAGGAGCCAGAGGGCAGGAUGUUAAGCAAAUGGCUGGAUGUUUUUUCAAAUGGUGGCAAUGUCUAUCUCAGAGUCAGAAACUCAUCAGUAGGACUUUGAUGAAGGAAGAAUAUUUUUCUUAAAGCAAGAUACAUUUUAGUGAUAGAAUCAGCUCUUUAGUUUAUUCUCUUAUGUAUAUAUAUCUACACACACAUACACAUACAUAUAUAAUGGCUGUUUUAUAGUGUCUUGGAGAUUUAGGUCAUCAGGUUUCCUUCAUGCCACUAUUUGGAAUUCAGUGAGAUCAGGUGGCUAGGGAAAAGAACAAUAAAUUAUAACAACAGCUUCCUUUAUAGUCACCAUGUAGAAGAUGACUUAUUCACUGAGUCAUAAAGUCAUAAACCAAAAUGUCUUGGUAAAGAAAAAUUUUAAUUGAUACUGAUACAUGUUUAUUCUGUUCCAGGUCUACCUUAUAAUCACUGAGGAUGGGAGAGGGCACAGUGUGUGUAACAGAUAUGUCAAUUCUUUGGACAAGGUGCUGUGGGAACACAGAGGACUGGGGUCCCUUGGAUAUAGGAGGUUUCCCUGUGUUGGUCUCCUACCAUCUCUCCUUGUGCUUCAGUCAGUGCAUGAGAGUAGAUAGGGGAAAUACCAGAUUCACUAUACUAGGGCUUUUAAGAAUAUUUACAAUCUUAAAAUUUUACACCCAGAAUAGGUCACUGAGAGCCUGUAAUCCUACAAGAUUUCAGAGCUGUUCAUUGCACUUUCUGUAGCAACUCUUUCAUCAAUCUGAUCAUGCUCUUAAUUCCAGAUUUGGUGUUGUAGGUAGCCAAAAUACUCGUGAGGAUUCGGUUAAUGCAACUCAAAAGCCAGCUUUCUCCUUUCGAUCACAGAUUCAAAUUCUACAAUUUGGAAUCCAUGGGCACUUCUAGAUUGGGUCUUGCAGAGAUUUUUUUUUUUUUUUUAACAACAGAAAGAAUGAGAAGGCAAAAGAAAACAUUUAGUAAUAAUCAACCCAAGCAAAUUGAGCCUCUUUCUGCAGAAGGCAAGUAGUUCUAAAUAAAUAGAAUAUUUGGCAAUUUUUUUCUGUCCACAUUGUUUGACUCCAUUCUGGGCCAAAAUGAUUUGUGACUAAACACAGGCAAAAACAAAGUUUAUUUUUAACCUGUCUAGCACUGAGGGGAUUGGCUCAUGAUCCAGAGGAGAUGUGAAUUCUUAUCCUUUAUCUAAUAUUUAACACUGUCUCACACUGGGGAGUGGUGAUGGUUCAAUUUCUAGCACUGAUUUCCUAUUGAGACUGUGGUUUCCUUCACUGAUUAUAAAAUUCUCUCCCGUCUUACCCUCAACUCCAACCAACCCAGAGUUUUUCUUCAAAGCCACUCUCUACUUGACAUACAUAUGAGCUUGACAAUAAAAUCCCUUGGAUAUAUAUUGUGAAAGUUGAGUGCAUUUUCUAUAUUUUACAUUAUAUUCUUGUUUCUGGGUCACCAAAAUAUAAUGUGUUAUAAUUUAGAAAUUCAUUUCCACAAAUAACUUAACUAACUGUAAGUCUAGACUCAUGAAACUUGGGUAUAGGCCAGGCAAGUAGCUUUUGCUUAUAAUCCCAGGACUUUGGGAGGCAGAGGCCAGCAGAUUGCUUGAGCCCAGGACUUAGAGAUCAGCCUUGGUAAUAUGGUGAAAUCUCAUCUCUACAAAAAAUAUACAAUUAGCAGAGUCUGUUGGAAUACGCCAGUAGUCUCAGCUACUUAGGAGGCUAAAAUGGGAGGAUCACUUGAACCUGGGAGGUCAAGACUGCAGUGAACCAAGAUCACACCACUGUACUUCAUUCUGGCCAACAAAGCGAGACCCUGCCUCAAAGGAAAAAAAAAGAAAAAGAAAAGAAAAAGAAACUUGCAUAUAAUUGUAAGGUAGAGCAACAAACCUAGGGUUUUACCUGGAGUUCCCAUACCAUGUGACCUUUCAAAAUUGACCUUGCACAAAUCAUACUGAAAAGGUAUGUUUCACAACUUUUUUCCCUCGUCUCACUCAUCAAAUAUAUUUUCCUCACAGGAAUAUCUAGUACUAUCGAAGUGGAUAAUUAACAUUCAAGGUGCUAAGACCAUGUCCACAUGAUGAAAAGUGUUUUGGAAAAGAAUAAAUGAGUGCAUUACUAAUGAAAGAUUUUUUUUUUUCCUUUACAAAAAGUCACUGAAUUAUGCUAUCCCGGCAGCCCACUGUCUGAUGCAUUGAUAAAUGGAGGAAAAGACAAUCACAUUAAGAACAUGAGAACAUCAUUUGCAAUCCUGAAAGUCAGUAUUUAGAAUCAACAAGCAGGGAACUUUCUCUUAAAAUUAGAGAUAAUAACCCACCCAACUGGGCAGCAGCAAUGUGCUCAAUUGAAGAUAGAAAAACAAGACAUAUUUUCCACAUUACGAGCCUUUAGUCCAAGGAAGUGUUUUUCAAAUGAUGUUGGCUGAGACCCUGAGUAAUAAAUACAUUUUACACUGCAACACAAAUGCAAAUAACUGUUGAAACAUCCAUACAUAAUUGAAACGAAAGUUUCCAAAGUAAAGUUCACUCUACUAUCUGCAAUAUGCAUGUAUUUUCCAUUGUAUUCUAUUUCACUUUAAUAAAUGCUAGUUGCAAACCAUAAAAUUGAUAUCCCUAAUGGGGAGGAGGUUUGGUCCACAGUUUGCAAAACAGUUAUUUAGCAAUUAUAGUCAUCUACACUUUUGGAAAAUGUAGCAGAUGGACUAAGAAACUUCCACAAAAAUAUAUAUUCAUAAGCUGAGUGAACCAAAGACCACUUUAAGGAUACAGUGUGACAUAUGAUAGGGGCUCAGUAUAAAUUUGAAGAAAUAAUUAAAAGAACAUAGUAGAAAAGGCCAGGUGUGGUGUCUCAUGCCUGUAAUCCCAACACUUUGAGAGACCAAGGCAGGUGGAUCACCUGAGACCAGGAGUUCGAGAGCAGCCUAGCCAACAUGAUGAAACCUGAUCUCUGCUAAAAAUGUGAAAAUUAGCCAGGCAUGGUGGCACAGUAAUCUCAGCUACUCGGGAAGCUUGAUCCUGGGGAGGCAGAGAUUGUAGUGAGCAGAGAUCGCGCCACUGCACUCCAGCCUGAAUAACAGAGUGAGACUACAUCUCAAAUAAAAUAAAAUAAAAUAAAAUAAAAACAACAUAGCAGAAAAGAAGAUACUGUGGAUAAGCCAUAACAGCAGGUGAGCAGAUAAGGCAGCUGAAAUGAGCCUCAAGCAAUUUAGAGGUGGCCUAGUUUCGGCAAAGAUUUUAGGCUGAUUAUAAAGCAAAAUGGCAACUGGUAUGAUUUUAAGUGCUAAAUAUUUUUGUAAAAAAGUAGUGAGCGAUUGAGGAAAGUUUAAAGCCUUUUGUGACGGAUGGAUGUGGCUUUGAAUCCUAGAUUUCCCACUUGCCAGCUUUGUCAAUGUGUCACAUUCUCCACCACAUCUUGUGUGGUCUUUGAUAGUGGGGUGAUGAUAUCCAGCUAACCAGGUUAUGAUAAAAAUUUAUAACAAUGAUCCAUAUAAAGAACAUUAUAGGGCCUAAUAUGUAGCAAACGCUAAAGAAGUAAAUCAAGAAAUAUAAUUUUUUGUGUUAGAUGUUGGUUAAAUUGUUGUUGUUUUUUUGUUAGUUUGUUUUACCCAACCUAUGGCUUUAGCUUUCUUUUAUGCUAAGUGAAUCUGCCCUUCAAAAUGUUUCGUCAGGCACUAACAUACCUUCUCUGCCCAAAUUGUUAACUAGCGGAUAAUCAGGAUGACUCCACCUUUGUACCUGACUGAGGAAAUUAGUGAACCCUGAAGAAAUGAAGAUUAAAGAGACAAUGAAGACAGGAGACAUCGGGCUGUGCUCUUCUAGAUAUGACAGGGAGCAAAUAAGCCAACUCCAGAUGUAACCAAAGCGGUGCAUAUGCUAUCUAAGUACAAAGAAGAACGAAGAGGUGGAAGUUUGAGGCAGCUUUCCAAACCAUUUUUCUGCAUUUGUUUUCCAUCUUAGUUGUAUGCCUUAAACAAAUACACCAGCUGUCUUCAUUGAGCCUUCUGGAGCAUCUCCACAUUCCACGAGUACCCAUGAAUCUGUGCCUACAUACACACAUCAAUUGUUUGGAGUCCCAUUUCUUAGAAAGAUGAAGAUUGACCCUGAUUCUUUAAGUGCUGGGAAUAUUACCAUAAUAAAUGGCAUCACUACGUGAUAAGAGCAAAUGUGUGAUUGCAGUCAACAUAUUUUCUACAUCAUUAAUGAGAGACUAGCAGCUUGGAUACACAGCAGUCUACAGUCAGUGACUAAGCAGGACUCUGUGAAGUGAGGAAAUAGUUCUGACCAACCCCAGGGAGAUGGUUAUAAUACGGAGUAUAAGCUGCCCUGCAGUGAUUUGGUAUUGCACACAAUUUCCAUCAUAUACACAAUUUUCAAACUCCUUUAUAUUCUAAAAGGCCACCUGAACAUAAGUGGUCAAAAGACCUUCUUUUUUCUACCUUCAUUCUUCCUCUGUUCUUUUCAUUGGAUCUUCGAUUCUGAGAAGUCUGACCCACAGAAAGGAGGAGGCUUAACUCCAGGAAUGCUCCCUAUUCUCUGUCUCUUUCAUCUUUCUUCUCACUCCCUCCAUAUGGCUUCGCAGAAGCAUCAAUGAUGCCUUUUCUUUUCUCCUCUUCUUCAAUCUAUUCCACACAACCCCAUGUCCUUGGAUAAGCCGCCAACAAAAGUCUGAAGAUGGUUUGCAAUGGAAAUGGAUUAUUGAAGACAGAGUCCUCUCAUAAAUUUUACAUUUUAUACCCCUGUGAUGUUGCCGUUCUUAAAAUUGAUAAGAAAAACAGGAAAUUUACAUAAUUCCUGUGAGUUUCUAGGACAAAUGAGUUUAUGACUAUGAAGUACCUUGUAAUCUAAUCUAUAGAACUGUAGGUAAAUAUAAUUGGGUGUUAUUAAUGUUGUUGUCACCAUCUUUCUUGUUUUCUGAGCAGUGAUAAUCCUAAGAAAAUUAAAAGUAAGCUAAGUUCAAGUUGAGAGAGCAAGAGAAAGCCACAUGGGUGGUUGCAGUUCACUUUAUGGUGGGCCCCCAAGAAGCUGAGGCAUCUGCUCACCCAGCUGCUGAGCAGCUGAGUUAGGAAUCAGACUCCUAGCUUUUGUUUCAGAAUCAAGACAUGCCCCUGGAGACUCAGCCCUGAGAGCUAUGCUUUAACCCUCAGAGCCCUGCUCUUUGCCUGGAUGUUCACCUCUGAGGUCACUCUCCCAUCCAGCACCUUUCUUCCCAUUGUUCCUUCCCCAGCCCCUGCCCUACCCUGAUUGAUGAAGUUGCUGCCAGGGACCAGGAUGCCACUCUCCCAUAGUUUAUUAUGAACAAGGGGAGAAAAGUGGGAAGUAAAUAUGUAAGAGGGGUCUUUCAUAUCUAGCUGCCCGAGCCAAUCCACUGAACACCCAUUACAUAUGCUGGCUAAGCUUCCAUUGGUCUUUCCCCAUUAGAACAAUGACAGUCUCCAAGUAUAUGUGGGUUAUGGGUUUUGGAACAUGGCGACAGUGGAUAAUGGUUUUUAUGGGAAAAUGCAUUUUGGGAUGGAAACCGCCAACUUAGCAACAAACGUUUAGGACUUCAUGCUGUCCACAAAUUGAGGACUAUCUUUCACUUAUGCAGCAGUUACAAUUCCAUAGCCAGAAAUACUGACAUCCCAUUAAGGAAGAGCAAGAAGCAAUGGGGAAAACACCCUGAAAACUACAAUAAUUUUUAAUGCCAAGAGAGAGGAGCAGCAAACAUUACAAGAACAACGUACAGCAAAAUCUGCCAAAUAAUGGGGAGUUCCUCACACAUGAAGCUCAUUUCCAGAGAAACAACAGAUCUGUUUAAAGAUGACUCUUAAGGAUAUUUUAUUUGACUUUGUCCAAAAUUUUGGACUUUUCUGCAACCAUAUUCUAAGAGAUGAGCUUCAUUAAAAAUAUAAAACCAGAUGGGCACAUUGGCUCACAACUGUAAUCCCAGCAGUUUGGGAUGCUGAGGUGAGAGGAUCCCAUGAGCCCAGGAGUUUGAGAUCAGCCUGGGCAACAUAUGGAAACCCUAUCUCUACCAAGAAAAAAAAAAUAAUAAAGCUGGGCGUGUUGGUGAGUAGCAAGUGCCUAUGGUUCUAGCUACUAAGGAGAAAAAAAUAUAUAUUUUUUAAACUAUGAAUUCAAAUGAUAUGUAUUGCUUUAUUGUUGUUACAUAGUGAUGCACAAUCAGUGAAGAAAUAAUUAAAACAAUAAAACGAUUAAAAAGAAAAUAUGGGCCAGGCACACUGGCUCAUGUGUAUAAUCCAAGCACAUUGGAAGACUGAGAUGGGAAGAUCAGUUGAAUGUCAAAGUUCAAGACCAGGCUGGGCAACAAAAUGAGACCCUGUCUCCAAAAAAAAAAAAAAAAAAAAAAGGAAAAAUUAGCCAGUUACGGUAUGGUGGCACACAGACUUACAGUUCUCCCAGCUACUGGAGAGGAUGAGGUGAGAGGAUGGCCUGAGCCCAGGAGUUUGAGGAUGCAGUGAGCUAUGAUUAUGCUACUGUACUCCAGCCUGAGUGCCAGAGUGAGACUUACUCUCCAAGAAAAUAAAUUUGAAAACACAAGAGAAGAAAAGGAAAUAUGACCUAAAUAAAUUUAGUGACCUCUACAAACCUUUUAGAGAACAUGUAU